rnacentral:rRNA from 1 species
AACGAACGCUGGCGGCAGGCCUAACACAUGCAAGUCGAGCGAGGACUUCGGUCCUAGCGGCGGACGGGUGAGUAACGCGUGGGAACGUGCCCUUUGCUUCGGAAUAGCCCUGGGAAACUGGGAGUAAUACCGGAUGAGCCCUUUGGGGGAAAGAUCUAUCGGCGAAGGAUCGGCCCGCGUUGGAUUAGGUGGUUGGUGGGGUAAUGGCCUACCAAGCCGAGGAUCCAUAGCUGGUUUGAGAGGAUGAGCAGCCACACUGGGACUGAGACACGGCCCAGACUCCUACGGGAGGCAGCAGUGGGGAAUCUUAGACAAUGGGGGAAGCCCUGAUCUAGCCAUGCCGCGUGAGAGAUGAAGGCCUUAGGGUUGUAAAGCUCUUUCAGCUGGGAAGAUAAUGACGGUACCAGCAGAAGAAGCCCCGGCUAACUCCGUG